UCAAGUUCUUUAAAUUUUGCUCCCAUCCUAUGAUCUAAUCCUUCGGGCGUAUAUUGCCCCGCUUGGCGGAGCUCUUGUUAUUCUUGGUUGCAUUCUUUGCUUCCAAAGAAUCUUUUGACAGAGUUUAUUAUAUAUAGCUAUAGGCAUAUAUUUUAAAAAAAGCAAACUAGCAAAAGACAAAUAGCAGAAUGCAAGAGGCAAAAAAUAAAUACAAAAAGUAGGGAUGGGAAUGAAUACUGAAAUCAAUACUCGGCGAUAUAUGACAUUUUUGUGUUGGUUCGCCGCAAAACCCAACUCAUUCAUUCAAUAUUCGGUUUGCCAUAUUUGAGUAUAUUCGAAUAUUCGGUUUGUUUUAAUGGAAGCUUUGAAUUCUUACUAAGUCAUUGCCAUAUACUUGUUUAAAAACGUGAAUCAUCGUAGUAAUAAGGCCUAAAAAAAUGUUUGUUUCGGGUAACCCGACCCUAGCAUUUUAUAUCGCAAUUCUGUCAGUAUAAUCAUGAACAUAUUUAAUUAAUUCAGUGUUUUAGCUUCAAAAUGAUACAAAAAAAAUCAAAUUGAUUAUAAUUUAGACCGUCGCAACUUUAACUAAAAAAAGCAGGUCGUCUAAUUUAAGCACGUGUCGCACUGUUGUAUUACCACUGCCAUUUUGAAAAUUUUCAAUCGCCGUGUAAAAAGCCAAUAAACUUAACAAAUACAGACUUAAACCUCCUUCAACAUGAUCUUAUGCAUCAAUCAUAUGUUAUAUCUUGAUUUUAUUAUAAACUACUUCAAAAUUUAUUUCGAAUACGGCCAAUUGCGGAUGAAAACUAAUUCUGCGGACGGUCUGAAAUGUCGUACAAAAUAUUGUAGAAAGAUCGACAAUAUCUACAUUUGGUAUUGAUUUUGAAAAAAAAUUAAUUGUAAAAUUUGUUACAUAAAACAGGCGUUAAUAAAAAUGAACAAAUGAUAAAAAGGCAUCACAUUUACGCCUGUGGCAAACUGUUAAUCCGUAACGAUGACCCCUGCUAAUUAUGCAUUGCAAUUUCCUUGUUAAUUGGGGCAAUUUUUGACAUGCACCUGACACAUUUACACCUCUUGCACACUGUUAAUCCGUAAAGGUGGCCCCUGCCAAUUAUACGUUGCUAUUUUCUUGUUAACUGGACAUCUUUUGAUACGCGGUAAACAAACACGACAGAACAAACGGAUUUAUUCUGCAGAAUUAGCAUGCUUAUAUUGCCCAAAAUCAACGAUACUUACUUUGAAAAAAAACAACUAUACAAUAAUUUACGAAUAUUCAAAUUUGAUUUUCAUAUUCGAAUAUUCGACUGAUAUUCGAAUAUUCAUUCCCAUCCCUAACAAAAUGCAAAAUGCAGAAAGCAAAUAGCAAACAGCAAAACAGCAAAAAGCAUGUCGCACUGGGAUUCCAUAGUUAUGGAGAACUGCUAUUUUUUUGGUAUAAGGAAACUACUCUCCACGCUUGUUGUCUGUGCUAAAAUCUAAGAUUAUCAUUAUGUUCCAUAAAAGAUUGAGUGGUUAAUAUUUCUUUCAAACAAAAUAUUAAUUUCAUAUAAAUUUUAUUGUAUUUUGAUGAAAGAAAUAAUUUAAAGCAAAUCACAAUUAUUACGAUUCUAAUUAAAGAUCGAGUAUUAUCUUUAACUGAGAUCAAACUGUGAACAAAAUUAACUUGAGGUGACACGCUAAUUGCCGAUAAGACUUAUUAUUUUAUUAAUAUUAAAUAAUAACAUUUAUUUUGGCGCAUCAAGCUUGGUGUGUAUCCAAGGUUACCAAAUUAAAUUUGGUAUUUGGAUACACUCGGCAUUUUCCGUAUCCAGUAAUCAUUAGCGUGUGACCACUGGUCAGUCAAUAGUCGGCAUGUGUACAACCAACAGAAAAUGAAAUGGUUUCAAAAUAUAUCUGUCAACAUCGUUAUUUUGCUUCAAGUAGAAUGCUUAGCUUGGUCUGGCAUUGGUACAAAAUGCUGUCAAUUAUCGUAAAAAUGGAUAUUGGCGGCGAAAACCAGGAUUUCAAAGGUAAUUUUUAUCCUCGAAAUUUUUGUUUGUUCGCACUCGUGAAAUCACAAUUGAGUUUAUGAAAAUGGCAUGGCAUCUAGCAUUAACAUUGUUAAGAAUAUUGCAGCUGUAUUAAACAUACAUUUGAAGUAAAAGUUUGGUGCCACUUGUAACCUAGUAGAAAUAAUGAAUGUUGUUUCGUAUUUUCUCGGGAACCAAUAAUUUCUCGGUGGUCGUAUACUCGUAAUAAAAUUAAUUACAUUGGUGACACACGUCAUUCAUUAGUAUCAUUCUACGUGCAACCAACUACUUAGGCAAAAUGUAUUCUCUUAAAUGUAAAUGUACGUGUCCGAGGAAAUGCGCUAAGUUGUCGUUUUAGUCGUGCUGUCCGAUUAUGUCUAUCCGAAAAUUUGCUAGUCAGAUAAACACGCGAAGUCUCGUUGGUAAAUGCCUGUUAGAAAAAUAUAGAUUAUUGUUAUUAUGUGGGAUAUGUAUGGAUUAUAUCAUUAGAUAGGCAUGUUUUCCUAUCAGGUCGGGCUAUUGUCUAUCUAAAUUCAUUGUUGUAUGGAUUACCGAUUACAAAUUGUUUGUACCCGGAAAUUGUUGUUGUUUACUACAUAGGAACGAUAACUACGGUUUCAAUACUCAUGUUUAGGCCAGGAUAAAGGUAUUAAAAAACUUGGUUUAAUACACUUACGUAAUAGGGUAAUUGCCAGGAAAAUAUAUGGAUUUAAUUUCAUUUAAGUAAUUGUUAUUUUUAUACUCGUAGAGUCUGAAAGAAUGUUUGUAUGGAAAUACUGUACAUUGUAUAAAGAAACAAAACACUUGUGAUCAUUGAUAUUAAUGCCGCCUAUCACAGUACUCUGUCUAUGGUCAGAAUUAAGGCACAACGAUCUGAGGCUGUUUAUGCAGUAAGGAAGGAAAGUUGUGAACAGUCAGUAAAUAAAAAUGGACAAUAUACCAAGCACAAAUGGUAUACCAAGCACAAAUGGAAGGAGUACAAACAAUAUUUUAAACCAUUACGUGAUGCCUGUUUAACACGGAUAUACAUACAAGCUAAAUUACUUAGCUAGUCAAGUGGAUUGUAUAAAUCAAAUUUAUCCAGAGCCUCUGGGAAUGUGGAAUAGAAACUUGAAAGCAACAAGUUUAGAAACUAGAAUGACUUUAAUUAAUAACAGCUACAAAUGUCACAAUAAUUGUUUUAACAUGAACUUUCCAUUUGAUCCAUCACAAAGCAGGAAAAUUCACAAAUGCUGGAAUCCUAAAACUUAUAUACAAAUUAGACACACCUUGUCUAUUGGGACAGGCCUUGUCACAAACAAACAGUAAUUGCCUGUAACAAAACUAGGAGACAUACAAAAGGAAUUGUUCAAAAAAUAUCAGCUGCGUGGCACUUACCAGGACAUUAGCUUAGUAUGUCAUGACAGGACAGUGAGUAAGAUGACAAUAUUACAAUAGCAAGAGGAGAAAUAUAAAUAUACUCUCUUAUAGUAAUAUGUAUUACUUUUUGUUUGCAAAAGUGUUUUAAUAACUUGUAACACUAACAUGUGUAACAGAAAACACUAAUAUAUGUAAUAUAAGUAAUUAAGCCGAGACUGGAAAGAUGUUUGUUCAAAUGUAGUUUUAUCAAUAGACUUACGCAAAUGGAAACCAAGAAGCAGUCAGCUCCUUAAUAUCGAAGAACAAUUAAUCAGGGGAUGUCUCAGUAAUGGUCUUCACAUAAACAUAAAACACUUUUUCAGCAGUGACAAUAUUAUUCCAUGCUUCAUUUAGGGGAUGUUCAGUUGCAAUGAUACUGGUUAUAUUGUGUGAAUUAGCCAUAUUUUGUUUUUACAUGUUGAAAGUUGCAUAAAUAGUGCAAUGAAUUUGGGCAGUAUGAACUUUGAGCAAUCAAUGUUUCCUAAAUUCAACUGAUGUACUUUUAUAUGUUAUAUAAAUUGCAUAGUCAGCCAGGUCAUGUAAUCCAACGCUUUCCCGUACUUUUCUCUCAAAGAGUUUUUAGGGUUUUGGUGCGCGGAUUACAAAUAAAACUUGUACAUGAUUUUAUUUUGCUUAUUCUCUGUUCAUUGCACUAUUUACUGUUUAUGCCACGAAGAACUAACUUGUUCAUAAUAAGUUAUUCUGAUUCAUGUCAUUCACAUUACCGUCUAUGUUACAUAUUUUGGAUGGACUUUUACAUAUUUAUGUUUUAGGACCAUGUUAGACUGGCUUUAGCCAAAUACGCUAUUCUACUUUAUAAAAAAAAAAAGUUACUGAUUUGAAUAUGAAAUCAUUCUGAUAUUUAUCCUUUUCCUGGAAAAAUGUUUUACGAAGUUUCAGUUCUAUAUAUAAUUGGAAACAUUAUUUCUUAUGAUUCUGUUGUUACCUCUGAAUGUAUUGAGUAGAAAAUGAAAAGAUAAAUGCAAUGAUUUAACUUUUAAGAUUAAGUAAACUAUUAUAUACAUUAA
rnacentral:lncRNA from 1 species